UUUAACUGAGCGUUCAGUUACUUGACGUAGACCCGAAACCGGGCGACCUACCCAUGAGCAGGAUGAAGCGAAAGUAAAAUUUCGUGGAGGUCCGAACCCACGAGCGUUGAAAAGCUCGGGGAUGACUUGUGGGUAGCGGUGAAAUUCCAAUCGAGCCCGGAGAUAGCUGGUUCUCCCCGAAAUAGCUUUAGGGCUAGCCUCAAGGUGAGAGAUACGGAGGUAGAGCACUGAAUGUCCUAGGGGGUAUUGCACCUACCGAAGACUAUCAAACUCCGAAUGCCGUCAUCUUAUACUUGGGAGUCAGACUGUGGGUGAUAAGAUUCAUAGUCGAAAGGGCAACAGCCCAGAUCGUCAGCUAAGGUCCCUAAAUGUAAGUUAAGUGGUAAAGGAUGUGGGAUUGCACAGACAACCAGGAUGUUGGCUUAGAAGCAGCCACUCAUUCAAAGAGUGCGUAAUAGCUCACUGGUCGAGUGAUCCUGCGCCGAAGAUUUCCGGGGCUAAAACUUACUACCGAAGCUACGGCAUCAGUAAUGAUGGGUAGGGGAGCUUCCCAUACGG
rnacentral:rRNA from 1 species